rnacentral:rRNA from 1 species
AUUGAACGCUGGCGGCAUGCUUUACACAUGCAAGUCGAACGGCAGCGCGGGCUUCGGCCUGGCGGCGAGUGGCGAACGGGUGAGUAAUGCAUCGGAACGUGCCCAGUAGUGGGGGAUAGCCCGGCGAAAGCCGGAUUAAUACCGCAUACGACCUGAGGGUGAAAGCGGGGGACCGAAAGGCCUCGCGCUAUUGGAGCGGCCGAUGCCGGAUUAGCUAGUUGGUGGGGUAAAGGCUUACCAAGGCGACGAUCCGUAGCUGGUCUGAGAGGACGACCAGCCACACUGGGACUGAGACACGGCCCAGACUCCUACGGGAGGCAGCAGUGGGGAAUUUUGGACAAAGGGGGCAACCCUGAUCCAGCCAUGCCGCGUGCGGGAAGAAGGCCUUCGGGUUGUAAACCGCUUUUGUUCGGGAAGAAAUCCUCUGGGCUAAUACCCCGGGGGGAUGACGGUACCGGAAGAAUAAGCACCGGCUAACUACGUG